rnacentral:rRNA from 1 species
GAUGAACGCUGGCGGCGUGCCUAACACAUGCAAGUCGGGCGAUUCUCUUCGGAGAAGAGCGGCGGACGGGCGAGUAACGCGUGGGUAACCUGCCCUGUACACACGGAUAACAUACCGAAAGGUAUGCUAAUACGAGAUAAUAUGCUUUUAUCGCAUGGUAGAAGUAUCAAAGUUUUUGCGGUACAGGAUGGACCCGCGUCUGAUUAGCUAGUUGGUAAGGUAACGGCUUACCAAGGCGACGAUCAGUAGCCGACCUGAGAGGGUGAUCGGCCACAUUGGAACUGAGACACGGUCCAAACUCCUACGGGAGGCAGCAGUGGGGAAUAUUGCACAAUGGGCGAAAGCCUGAUGCAGCAACGCCGCGUGAGCGAUGAAGGCCUUCGGGUCGUAAAGCUCUGUCCUCAAGGAAGAUAAUGACGGUACUUGAGGAGGAAGCCCCGGCUAACUACGUGCCAGCCGCCGCCGUAA